rnacentral:rRNA from 1 species
UUAAGCGACUAAGCGUACACGGUGGAUGCCCUGGCAGUCAGAGGCGAUGAAGGACGUGCUAAUCUGCGAUAAGCGUCGGUAAGGUGAUAUGAACCGUUAUAACCGGCGAUUUCCGAAUGGGGAAACCCAGUGUGUUUCGACACACUAUCAUUAACUGAAUCCAUAGGUUAAUGAGGCGAACCGGGGGAACUGAAACAUCUAAGUACCCCGAGGAAAAGAAAUCAACCGAGAUUCCCCCAGUAGCGGCGAGCGAACGGGGAGCAGCCCAGAGCCUGAAUCAGUGUGUGUGUUAGUGGAAGCGUCUGGAAAGGCGUGCGAUACAGGGUGACAGCCCCGUACACAAAAAUGCACAUGCUGUGAGCUCGAUGAGUAGGGCGGGACACGUGGUAUCCUGUCUGAAUAUGGGGGGACCAUCCUCCAAGGCUAAAUACUCCUGACUGACCGAUAGUGAACCAGUACCGUGAGGGAAAGGCGAAAAGAACCCCGGCGAGGGGAGUGAAAAAGAACCUGAAACCGUGUACGUACAAGCAGUGGGAGCACGCUUAGGCGUGUGACUGCGUACCUUUUGUAUAAUGGGUCAGCGACUUAUAUUCUGUAGCAAGGUUAACCGAAUAGGGGAGCCGAAGGGAAACCGAGUCUUAACUGGGCGUUAAGUUGCAGGGUAUAGACCCGAAACCCGGUGAUCUAGCCAUGGGCAGGUUGAAGGUUGGGUAACACUAACUGGAGGACCGAACCGACUAAUGUUGAAAAAUUAGCGGAUGACUUGUGGCUGGGGGUGAAAGGCCAAUCAAACCGGGAGAUAGCUGGUUCUCCCCGAAAGCUAUUUAGGUAGCGCCUCGUGAAUUCAUCUCCGGGGGUAGAGCACUGUUUCGGCAAGGGGGUCAUCCCGACUUACCAACCCGAUGCAAACUGCGAAUACCGGAGAAUGUUAUCACGGGAGACACACGGCGGGUGCUAACGUCCGUCGUGAAGAGGGAAACAACCCAGACCGCCAGCUAAGGUCCCAAAGUCAUGGUUAAGUGGGAAACGAUGUGGGAAGGCCCAGACAGCCAGGAUGUUGGCUUAGAAGCAGCCAUCAUUUAAAGAAAGCGUAAUAGCUCACUGGUCGAGUCGGCCUGCGCGGAAGAUGUAACGGGGCUAAACCAUGCACCGAAGCUGCGGCAGCGACGCUUAUGCGUUGUUGGGUAGGGGAGCGUUCUGUAAGCCUGCGAAGGUGUGCUGUGAGGCAUGCUGGAGGUAUCAGAAGUGCGAAUGCUGACAUAAGUAACGAUAAAGCGGGUGAAAAGCCCGCUCGCCGGAAGACCAAGGGUUCCUGUCCAACGUUAAUCGGGGCAGGGUGAGUCGACCCCUAAGGCGAGGCCGAAAGGCGUAGUCGAUGGGAAACAGGUUAAUAUUCCUGUACUUGGUGUUACUGCGAAGGGGGGACGGAGAAGGCUAUGUUGGCCGGGCGACGGUUGUCCCGGUUUAAGCGUGUAGGCUGGUUUUCCAGGCAAAUCCGGAAAAUCAAGGCUGAGGUGUGAUGACGAGGCACUACGGUGCUGAAGCAACAAAUGCCCUGCUUCCAGGAAAAGCCUCUAAGCAUCAGGUAACAUCAAAUCGUACCCCAAACCGACACAGGUGGUCAGGUAGAGAAUACCAAGGCGCUUGAGAGAACUCGGGUGAAGGAACUAGGCAAAAUGGUGCCGUAACUUCGGGAGAAGGCACGCUGAUAUGUAGGUGAAGUCCCUCGCGGAUGGAGCUGAAAUCAGUCGAAGAUACCAGCUGGCUGCAACUGUUUAUUAAAAACACAGCACUGUGCAAACACGAAAGUGGACGUAUACGGUGUGACGCCUGCCCGGUGCCGGAAGGUUAAUUGAUGGGGUUAGCGCAAGCGAAGCUCUUGAUCGAAGCCCCGGUAAACGGCGGCCGUAACUAUAACGGUCCUAAGGUAGCGAAAUUCCUUGUCGGGUAAGUUCCGACCUGCACGAAUGGCGUAAUGAUGGCCAGGCUGUCUCCACCCGAGACUCAGUGAAAUUGAACUCGCUGUGAAGAUGCAGUGUACCCGCGGCAAGACGGAAAGACCCCGUGAACCUUUACUAUAGCUUGACACUGAACAUUGAGCCUUGAUGUGUAGGAUAGGUGGGAGGCUUAGAAGUGUGGACGCCAGUCUGCAUGGAGCCGACCUUGAAAUACCACCCUUUAAUGUUUGAUGUUCUAACGUUGACCCGUAAUCCGGGUUGCGGACAGUGUCUGGUGGGUAGUUUGACUGGGGCGGUCUCCUCCUAAAGAGUAACGGAGGAGCACGAAGGUUGGCUAAUCCUGGUCGGACAUCAGGAGGUUAGUGCAAUGGCAUAAGCCAGCUUGACUGCGAGCGUGACGGCGCGAGCAGGUGCGAAAGCAGGUCAUAGUGAUCCGGUGGUUCUGAAUGGAAGGGCCAUCGCUCAACGGAUAAAAGGUACUCCGGGGAUAACAGGCUGAUACCGCCCAAGAGUUCAUAUCGACGGCGGUGUUUGGCACCUCGAUGUCGGCUCAUCACAUCCUGGGGCUGAAGUAGGUCCCAAGGGUAUGGCUGUUCGCCAUUUAAAGUGGUACGCGAGCUGGGUUUAGAACGUCGUGAGACAGUUCGGUCCCUAUCUGCCGUGGGCGCUGGAGAACUGAGGGGGGCUGCUCCUAGUACGAGAGGACCGGAGUGGACGCAUCACUGGUGUUCGGGUUGUCAUGCCAAUGGCACUGCCCGGUAGCUAAAUGCGGAAGAGAUAAGUGCUGAAAGCAUCUAAGCACGAAACUUGCCCCGAGAUGAGUUCUCCCUGACCCUUUAAGGGUCCUGAAGGAACGUUGAAGACGACGACGUUGAUAGGCCGGGUGUGUAAGCGCAGCGAUGCGUUGAGCUAACCGGUACUAAUGAACCGUGAGGCUUAACCUU